rnacentral:rRNA from 1 species
CCAGACUCCUACGGGAGGCAGCAGUGAGGAAUAUUGGUCAAUGGCCGAGAGGCUGAACCAGCCAAGUCGCGUGAGGGAUGACGGCCCUACGGGUUGUAAACCUCUUUUGCCGGGGAGCAAAGAGCGGGACGCGUCCCGCCUCGAGAGUACCCGGAGAAAAAGCAUCGGCUAACUCCGUGCCAGCAGCCGCGGUAAUACGGAGGAUGCGAGCGUUAUCCGGAUUUAUUGGGUUUAAAGGGUGCGUAGGCGGGUUGUUAAGUCCGGGUUAAAAGCCGGGGGCUCACCCCGGGCGAGCCGUUGAAACUGGCUGUCUUGAGAUGUCGAGAGGUAUGCGGAAUGCGCAGUGUAGCGGUGAAAUGCAUAGAUAUCACGCAGAACGCCGAUUGCGAAGGCAGCUUACCGGCGCUCAACUGACGCUGAGGCACGAAAGUGCGGGUAUCGAACAGGAUUAGAUACCCCAGUAUA